rnacentral:rRNA from 1 species
UAUACGACUCUCGGCAACGGAUAUCUCGGCUCUUGCAUCGAUGAAGAACGUAGCGAAAUGCGAUACUUGGUGUGAAUUGCAGAAUCCCGUGAACCAUUGAGUCUUUGAACGCAAGUUGCGCCCGAGGCCUUUCGGUUGAGGGCACGCCUGCCUGGGCGUCACGC